rnacentral:rRNA from 1 species
AUGAACGCUGGCGGCGUGCUUCACACAUGCAAGUCGCACGAUGAAGCCCAGCUUGCUGGGUGGAUUAGUGGCGAACGGGUGAGUAACACGUGAGUAACCUGCCCUUAACUCUGGGAUAAGCCUGGGAAACUGGGUCUAAUACCGGAUAGGAGCGUCCACCGCAUGGUGGGUGUUGGAAAGAUUUAUCGGUUUUGGAUGGACUCGCGGCCUAUCAGCUUGUUGGUGAGGUAAUGGCUCACCAAGGCGACGACGGGUAGCCGGCCUGAGAGGGUGACCGGCCACACUGGGACUGAGACACGGCCCAGACUCCUACGGGAGGCAGCAGUGGGGAAUAUUGCACAAUGGGCGCAAGCCUGAUGCAGCGACGCCGCGUGAGGGAUGACGGCCUUCGGGUUGUAAACCUCUUUCAGUAGGGAAGAAGCGAAAGUGACGGUACCUGCAGAAGAAGCACCGGCUUACUACGUG